rnacentral:rRNA from 1 species
AAUGAACGUUGGCGGCGUGGAUUAGGCAUGCAAGUCGAGCGAGAACCGCAGCAAUACGGGGACAGCGGCGAAAGGGACAGUAAUGUGUAGGUACCUACCCCUGGAUCUGGGAUAGCUGCGGGAAACUGCAGGUAAUACCGGAUAAUGUCUCCGGACCAAAGGUGUGAUUCCGUCUGGGGAGGGGCCUGCAUCCUAUUAGCUAGUUGGCGGGGUAACGGCCCACCAAGGCGACGAUGGGUAGCGGGGGUGAGAGCACGACCCGCGUCAGUGGGACUGAGACACUGCCCAGACACCUACGGGUGGCUGCAGUCGAGGAUCUUCGGCAAUGGGCGAAAGCCUGACCGAGCGACGCCGCGUGCGGGAUGAAGGCCUUCGGGUUGUAAACCGCUGUCGUAGAGGAGGAAAUGCAGGGGGGUUCUCCCCUUUGUUUGACCUAUUCUAGGAGGAAGUACGGGCUAAGUUCGUGCCAGCAGCCGCGGUAA